UACGGAGGGUGCAAGCGUUAUCCGGAUUUACUGGGUUUAAAGGGUGCGCAGGCGGAUAUGUAAGUCAGUGGUGAAAUCUCUGGGCUUAACCCGGAAAUUGCCAUUGAUACUAUAUAUCUUGAAUGCUGUGGAGGUAAGCGGAAUAUGUCAUGUAGCGGUGAAAUGCGUAGAGAUGUGGAGGAACACCUGUGGCGAAGGCGCCUUGCUGGCCGAUUUCUGACGCUGAGGCGCGAAAGCGUGGGGAGCAAACAGG
rnacentral:rRNA from 1 species